rnacentral:lncRNA from 1 species
AAUAUAAAUCAGAGUAAAUUCAAAUAUACAUGUUAUGAAUAAAUAAAUUACAUCAACAUAGAUGCAUCUCAAAAAUCCCAACAAACGGGUAAUCUCCAAACAUAACAAAAACCAAAGUAAAAGAUAAUCUAGACUGACACAACUAAGCCUAGAUCAGAGCCGACUAAACAUCUAAACACCGAUAUCGGAGAAAGCUCCAGAUAUCCACCAAGCACAAGAACUCACCAAGCAUCUAAUCCUGCACAACGUCUACCCAUCCAUACAGAUAGGCAGGCGGUCCAUAACAGAUCCACUGGGGGUAAGUAUUACAUUAUCAUAAUCCAAAUAACAGUUAACCUGAAUAUUUCAAUUUAAACAUCAUGCAAUUGAUCAAUAAUAAUUACACAUUAAUACUUACAUCACACCCCGAUAUCUCACAUCAAUAUUCGUCAAUCAUAUGAACAAUUAUCAAUUUACAAUUAUUCAUUCACAAUCACCAAUCACGUUUAUCAUGAAUAAUCAUUAAUCACAUUUCAUGAACAAUCGCCAAUUACUUGUAUCAUAAAUAAAUAUCAAUUCACAGUUAUUCAUACACGAUCACCAAUCAUAUACGUCAUGAACAAUCAUUUAUCAUAUACAUCAUGAACAAUCACCGAUCAUAUACAUCAUGAACAAUCACCAAUCAAAAGUCAUGAACAAUCAUUAUCUCCACAACAUUGCAUUAUCAAGAAAACAUGCCCACACAAAUAAAUCAUAGUAUUCACCAUCACACAUCAACAUGAUUAUCAAUAAUCAACAAUGUCAUUCAACAUCAACUAUAUCAUAUAGUUUCACCAUUCCAAACAAUUCUCAUAUCCCAAGUAAGAGAACAUACAACAUCUCAUGACAAAUAUCAUAUCCAACAUAUACCCAUUCAACAUCAACUAUCACAUAUAGUUUCACCAUUCAAGCAUUCCUUACAUUCUAAGUAAGAUAGCAUACACAUCUCAUGAUAAACAUCAUAUCCAAAGUAUAAUCACUCAUUCAUACAAC